AUACGAACCGGACAAACGUUAUUCGGAAUCAUUGGGCUUAAAGGGUGCGUAGGCGGCGUAGUAAGUGAGGUGUGAAAGCCCUCGGCUCAACCGAGGAAUUGCGCUUCAUACUGCUAUGCUCGAGGGAGACAGGGGUAAGCGGAACUGAUGGUGGAGCGGUGAAAUGCGUUGAUAUCAUCAGGAACACCAGUGGCGAAAGCGGCUUACUGGGUCUCUUCUGACGCUGAGGCACGAAAGCUAGGGUAGCGAACGGGAUUAGAAACCCUUGUAGUCC
rnacentral:rRNA from 1 species